GAACAUAAUUAGAUAACAAAUCUUCCCAAAUCAAAGGAUCCGAAUCAAGUCACCAUGACUUCCUCCACGAUCCAAGCUCCACCGAUUCAAACCAUGAACUCCGAAGAAGACGAUCAAACAAAGACAGCAGACGUUUAUGCUUCAUGUUGUCCAAACUGCAUUUCCUCGGGAUGUGAAUGUGAAUGUGAAUGUGAAGGAGGUUGCCCAUUAGAAAUUGUUGUAUGUUUUGAAGUUUGUUCUUCGUGUUAUGAAUGAUCAGAUGGAGUUAAGCAAAGUGCAUCAAUGUUCCGUUUGUUCUUCUCCAAUGUUUUUUCGAAGUUCAUCUCUAAUGUUUUUAGUGUUGUGUAUUUGAACCUUUUGUAAUCCUUUUAACAUGUAAUGCAGCAUUGUCCC